rnacentral:lncRNA from 1 species
GAGAUUGAAAUUUGAUUUCGAGACUUUCGAAAUUUUGAUAAUGAAUUAUAGGACUGAUCUGGAAAGUUUGGUCUAAUUUAAUCAAGUUGCGAUUGGGUUUUUGACACGAAACAUGAGUUAAUUGUUUAACGAGCGAAAUGGGUAUUGAACUGAGCAAAUGAGCUCCGAAUUGAGUUUUGACUGAAGGAAUAUGUUCGUAUUAUUAUUUGUGACUCAUAGGAACAAAAAUCAUCGAAUUCCGAGUUCGUAUGAUGGAGUUAGAGCCUUUUUAAUGAAAAGAAAAGCUGUUGCAAUUUUUUGGGCAGUUUCUGCAUUUUUCGCACGUGUGAACAGUGACCGCACCUGUGUGAACAGUACCGUGAACAGUACCCCCUGAACAGUACUGUACAGAAUGUUAAGUUCUGGAAAAUGGGACGAAUCCCAUUUUCCAUUUUUACCAAAUUGAAGCUCGGGGAGAGGCGAUUUUCGGGAGAUUUUCAGAGAAAACAAUGGGGUAAGUGUUCUUAACUUAAUUUUGGUUAGAUUACCCGAAUCUAUUACUAGUUUUGGCAUUUAAUUGGUGAUUUUAGUUGGGAAAAUCUUGAAAGCCCUCUUGGUUUAAUUUGAAGAUUUGAGGGUCGAGUUGAUGUCGGAUUUUAGUAAAAGUGGUAUGGUUGGACUCGUGGUUGGAUGAGGUUUCAUAUUCCGUAAUUUUUGUCGGGUUCCGAGAUGUGGGCCCCACGGGCGAAUUUUGAGUGCAAUUUCGGAUUUUUAAUGGAAAAUGUAGAAUUUCAUAUGGAACUAAUUCCUAUAAUUUUUAUUAACAGAAUCGAAUUAUUGUGUCUAGAUUCGAGGCAUUCGGAGGUCGAUUUGAGAGACAAAGGCAUCGCGAGUUAGAGGAUUAGCCGGUUCGAGGUAAGUAAUGAUCGUAAAUACUGUCCUGAGGGUUUGAAUCCCGGAUUAUACCUCGUUGUGUUACUUUGAGGUGACUUGCACGCUGGAUGACAAGCGUGGGGUAGAGCACCGCUGGGGAUUGUGACCUGGUCCAUCCCGAACGAAUAUUUUAAUGCGUAUUUGAUAGUUAAUUGUUUGGCAUUAUUAUAUUUUUGGGUUGUAUGCCAUGUUUGGGGCCUUGUGCCGAUUUGUUGAGACCCUUAGGGGCAUUUUUACUAUCUUUCCUCACUCUAUUUGUUUGAAAGCAUAUUUUCAGUCAUAUUUUACCUGUUUAUUGCUCAAAUCUGGCUUUAUCACUAUAUUCUUAACAUGUGGAAAUUGUUUUGGGCUAAGUUCCCUGUUUUACUGAGAUUGACCGAGGGUCUGAUUGUAAGAUUGAUGACUGAGUUAGACUGAGAGUCUGAUGGUGAGGUUAAUGACUGAGAGAGGCCGAGGGCCUAGUUAUGAGGAUUAUAUAUCUAUGGAUCGGGCUGCACGCCGCAGUAAUGUAUAUAUAUAUAUAUAUGUGUAUGGAUCGGGCUGCACGCCGCAGCGAUACUUAUAUGGAUCGGGCUGCGCGCCGCAACAAUAUAGCGUUUGGGCUGUAGGAGCCCCUUCGGAGUCUGCACACCCCUAGUGAGCGCAGUCGACUAUUUAUAUGGAUCGGGUUGUGCGCUACAGCGAUGCAUGGAUCGGGCUGCACGCCGCAACGGUUACUUUGAUUUCAGUUAUUGUGAGAGAUAUACGGAUCGGGCUGCACGCCGCAACGGUUACUAUAUGGUACCAAUUGAGCGUGAAUACUGAGUGCGAGUACUGAUUGGUAAGAGUUGAGUCACGAGUGACAGAGAGGCUAUCCCGAGGGGCGAUAGAUAUAUACAUGCAUAUGAGGGGUAUUUUGCCUGAGAGGCCUGUUUAUGGACUUAUUGAUUUCACUCCUCUUAAAAUGAGUUUCUAUCGAAUAUGUUGAUUUAUUGAUUGUUUUCACCCAUCUUUAUAUUGAGCCUUUGUCAGAAAGUUGC